GUCUAUGGCCAUACCACCCUGAAUGCUUCCAAACUUCUCUGAUCUCAAAGCCAAGCAGGGUGGGGCCUGGUUAGUAUUUGGAUGGGAGACUACCCAGGAAUACUAAGGGCUGUAGGUU
rnacentral:rRNA from 1 species